CAGCAGCCGCGGUAAUACGCAGGUGGCAAGCGUUGUCCGGAAUUAUUGGGCGUAAAGCGCGCGCAGGCGGAUCAGUCAGUCUGUCUUAAAAGUUCGGGGCUUAACCCCGUGAUGGGAUGGAAACUGCUGAUCUAGAGUAUCGGAGAGGAAAGUGGAAUUCCUAGUGUAGCGGUGAAAUGCGUAGAUAUUAGGAAGAACACCAGUGGCGAAGGCGACUUUCUGGACGAAAACUGACGCUGAGGCGCGAAAGCCAGGGGAGCGAACGGGAUUAGAUACCCGUGUAGUCCCUGUCUCUUAUACC
rnacentral:rRNA from 1 species